rnacentral:rRNA from 1 species
GACGUAGGGGCAAGCGUUGUUCGGAAUUAUUGGGCGUAAAGAGCGUGUAGGCGGUUUGGUAGGUCCGUUGUGAAAACUCGAGGCUCAACCUCGAGACGCCGAUGGAAACCAUCAGACUAGAGUCCGGAAGAGGAGAGUGGAAUUCCUGGUGUAGCGGUGAAAUGCGCAGAUAUCAGGAAGAACACCCGUGGCUAAGGCGGCUCUCUAGUACGGUACUGACGCUGAGACGCGAAAGCGUGGGGAGCGAACAGG